rnacentral:lncRNA from 11 species
GCUGAUGGCACAGAAAAUGCCACCAACAUCAGAUUCAGAGGCAGAAAAAUGAAGGAAAUUUAACAUGGACAAUAUCCAGACUCUCCUAAUGCCACAGCAGUGUUGAACGCAAGGUCUUUUCCUUGAAGCUCUACAUCUCUGUUGCUGGUUUCCACCAAGAAUAGUUUGGGUCUCUCUGCAGUCGGUGCCCAAGUCUUCCUGCAGACGGGCGGCAAACGUAAUUACAAGCUGGAUCCUCCUUUCAAGGCUCUUCCCCGGAGGCAUGGCGGUGAUGAGUCCUCGGACCACAUUAAAAGAAGAAAAAUAAGAGGGAUUCAUGUAUAAUUAAAGGGCCAGAUGGGCCGACCUCCC